UCAGAGGUAUUAUGUUCAGUAUGGUAUUACAUGGGACACGGUAACAGAUUUAAAAGUUAGAACUUAAAGAAAGUGUACAUUGUUUUGGACUAAAAUUAACCACACACUGAAGAAACGAGCGAUUAAUAUCUAUAGAGGGCAAUAUGCAUCUUAAACUUAUCUGCUUUAUGUCUGUACUGAUUUGGUACACAGAAAUAAACAUGACACAGGGGUCAAGUUGGGGUGCGUCAGGUUUCUCGGCUUCUAUAAGUAAAAGCAAACACGUGGUAAGAGGGCAUAUCAUAAGAUUUGACAAAGUAUGGAGCAACAUAGGGAACAACUAUGAUCAAUAUUCUGGUGUAUAUACAGCUCCAAGAAAUGGCGCAUAUCAUUUCUCUUGUACAGUAAUGUCUCAUAGAAACAAUGCUAUUCGAGUCAAUCUGUGGAAAAAUCACUCAAAGACUGUUGCAAUUUACUCAAAUAGUUACUUUGGUGGAACACUGAAUAUGGUACUUGACUUGAAAAGGGGAGACAGAGUGUACAUUAAACAAAGUCAUGUUGAAAACUACAUUUAUGCUGAACCUGAUUAUCAUUUCAGUAUGUUUUCUGGCUUUCUCAUUCAAGUUCAUGAGUAACUGUGUGAACUAAAUCAGAAUAUUUGUGAAGAAAUAUGUAAUAAAAUACAAUUGCAUUUAA